rnacentral:tRNA from 1 species
UCCCCAAUGGCUCAGAGGGUAAAGAAUCUGCCUGCUAUGCAGGAGACACAGGUUUGAUCCCUGUGUUGGGAA